rnacentral:piRNA from 1 species
UCACCCGGAUGCUCAUGCAUAAAACGCG